rnacentral:siRNA from 1 species
AUUCCAAUCUCAUAUAUCACGCA